AGGGCAGGCAGGUUCAUGGUUGUGGAUUGAAAUUGGGUUUAGAGGGGGAUUUUGUUGUUGCAAGUUCAUUGGCACACAUGUAUAUGAGGUCUGGUAGCUUAAGCGAGGGAGAGAUUGUGAUCAUGUCGAUGCCAGAUCAAACUAUGGCAGCUUGGAAUACUCUUAUUGCUGGUAGGGCUCAGAAUGGGUGUUUUGAAGGUGCAUUGGAGCUGUAUAAUUUGGUGAAAAUCGCCGGGUUUAGACCAGAUAAGAUAACGUUUGUUAGCGUGAUCAGCUCGUGUUCAGAGCUGGCUACAAUAGGACAGGGGCAGCAGAUUCAUUCUGACGUUAUAAAAACUGGUGUAAUUUCUGUGGUUGCAGUUGUAAGUUCCUUGAUUAGCAUGUAUUCAAAAUGUGGAUGUUUGGAUGAG
rnacentral:misc_RNA from 1 species